UCUCCGUAAGUGAACCUGCGGAAGGAUCAUUAAAAAUGAAUCCGGGGAACCGGUCCUUCUCACCCUUGAUUCUCUCUAUUUGUUGCUUUGGUGGGCCGCGCAAGCACCGGCUUCGGCUGGAUCGUGCCCGCCAGAGGACCACAACACUGUAUAAUAUGUCGUCUGAGUACUAUAAAAUAGUUAAAACUUUUAACAACGGAUCUCUUGGUUCUG
rnacentral:misc_RNA from 1 species